rnacentral:rRNA from 1 species
GACGAACGCUGGCGGCGUGCUUAACACAUGCAAGUCGAGCGGUAAGGCCCUUUCGGGGGUACACGAGCGGCGAACGGGUGAGUAACACGUGGGUGACCUGCCCUCAGCUCUGGGAUAAGCCUGGGAAACCGGGUCUAAUACCGGAUAUGACUCCAUGACGCAUGUUGUGGGGUGGAAAGCCUUGUGCGGCUGAGGAUGGGCCCGCGGCCUAUCAGCUUGUUGGUGGGGUGAUGGCCUACCAAGGCGACGACGGGUAGCCGGCCUGAGAGGGCGACCGGCCACACUGGGACUGAGACACGGCCCAGACUCCUACGGGAGGCAGCGGUGGGGAAUCUUGCGCAAUGGGCGAAAGCCUGACGCAGCGACGCCGCGUGAGGGAUGACGGCCU